AAUUAUUGAGCAACUAGGUCCACUGAUCAACAUUGUUGCUGAUUAACGAGGUCUACCAACUUAUAGACUGAUGAGCCACGUGCUUGUGGUGAUCUCUUGUCUGACCGGACAUCCACUUGCUCGGACAUUCACUUAUUGGGAUACCUAUGUGCCUGGACCCAACUCGAUGACCCUACAGAUAGUCCCAACUCGAUGCCCCUACGUAUGGCCCCGAUUCAAAGACCCGACUUGCGGACCCGAUCCGCGGAUCCGACACAUAGACCCAAUAUGUGAACCCGACAAGCAGACCCGAGUCAUGUCGAGAAUCAACUCAUACUAAGUGCAUGUUGACAUAAAGUAGAUACUUGCAAU
rnacentral:lncRNA from 1 species